AACACUGUUAACCUGCGGUACCUGCGGAGGGAUCAUUACAAGUGACCCCGGUCUAACCACCGGGAUGUUCAUAACCCUUUGUUGUCCGACUCUGUUGCCUCCGGGGCGACCCUGCCUUCGGGCGGGGGCUCCGGGUGGACACUUCAAACUCUUGCGUAACUUUGCAGUCUGAGUAAACUUAAUUAAUAAAUUAAAACUUUCAACAACGGAUCU
rnacentral:misc_RNA from 1 species